rnacentral:rRNA from 1 species
UUAAGCGACUAAGCGUACACGGUGGAUGCCCUGGCAGUCAGAGGCGAUGAAGGACGUGCUAAUCUGCGAUAAGCGUCGGUAAGGUGAUAUGAACCGUUAUAACCGGCGAUUUCCGAAUGGGGAAACCCAGUGUGAUUCGUCACACUAUCAUUAACUGAAUCCAUAGGUUAAUGAGGCGAACCGGGGGAACUGAAACAUCUAAGUACCCCGAGGAAAAGAAAUCAACCGAGAUUCCCCCAGUAGCGGCGAGCGAACGGGGAGGAGCCCAGAGCCUGAAUCAGUGUGUGUGUUAGUGGAAGCGUCUGGAAAGGCGCGCGAUACAGGGUGACAGCCCCGUACACAAAAAUGCACAUGCUGUGAGCUCGAUGAGUAGGGCGGGACACGUGGUAUCCUGUCUGAAUAUGGGGGGACCAUCCUCCAAGGCUAAAUACUCCUGACUGACCGAUAGUGAACCAGUACCGUGAGGGAAAGGCGAAAAGAACCCCGGCGAGGGGAGUGAAAAAGAACCUGAAACCGUGUACGUACAAGCAGUGGGAGCCUCUUUAUGGGGUGACUGCGUACCUUUUGUAUAAUGGGUCAGCGACUUAUAUUCUGUAGCAAGGUUAACCGAAUAGGGGAGCCGAAGGGAAACCGAGUCUUAACUGGGCGUUAAGUUGCAGGGUAUAGACCCGAAACCCGGUGAUCUAGCCAUGGGCAGGUUGAAGGUUGGGUAACACUAACUGGAGGACCGAACCGACUAAUGUUGAAAAAUUAGCGGAUGACUUGUGGCUGGGGGUGAAAGGCCAAUCAAACCGGGAGAUAGCUGGUUCUCCCCGAAAGCUAUUUAGGUAGCGCCUCGUGAACUCAUCUCCGGGGGUAGAGCACUGUUUCGGCAAGGGGGUCAUCCCGACUUACCAACCCGAUGCAAACUGCGAAUACCGGAGAAUGUUAUCACGGGAGACACACGGCGGGUGCUAACGUCCGUCGUGAAGAGGGAAACAACCCAGACCGCCAGCUAAGGUCCCAAAGUCAUGGUUAAGUGGGAAACGAUGUGGGAAGGCCCAGACAGCCAGGAUGUUGGCUUAGAAGCAGCCAUCAUUUAAAGAAAGCGUAAUAGCUCACUGGUCGAGUCGGCCUGCGCGGAAGAUGUAACGGGGCUAAACCAUGCACCGAAGCUGCGGCAGCGACGCUUAUGCGUUGUUGGGUAGGGGAGCGUUCUGUAAGCCUGCGAAGGUGUACUGUGAGGUAUGCUGGAGGUAUCAGAAGUGCGAAUGCUGACAUAAGUAACGAUAAAGCGGGUGAAAAGCCCGCUCGCCGGAAGACCAAGGGUUCCUGUCCAACGUUAAUCGGGGCAGGGUGAGUCGACCCCUAAGGCGAGGCCGAAAGGCGUAGUCGAUGGGAAACAGGUUAAUAUUCCUGUACUUGGUGUUACUGCGAAGGGGGACGGAGAAGGCUAUGUUGGCCGGGCGACGGUUGUCCCGGUUUAAGCGUGUAGGCUGGUUUUCCAGGCAAAUCCGGAAAAUCAAGGCUGAGGCGUGAUGACGAGGCACUACGGUGCUGAAGCAACAAAUGCCCUGCUUCCAGGAAAAGCCUCUAAGCAUCAGGUAACAUCAAAUCGUACCCCAAACCGACACAGGUGGUCAGGUAGAGAAUACCAAGGCGCUUGAGAGAACUCGGGUGAAGGAACUAGGCAAAAUGGUGCCGUAACUUCGGGAGAAGGCACGCUGAUACGUAGGUGAAGUCCCUUGCGGAUGGAGCUGAAAUCAGUCGAAGAUACCAGCUGGCUGCAACUGUUUAUUAAAAACACAGCACUGUGCAAACACGAAAGUGGACGUAUACGGUGUGACGCCUGCCCGGUGCCGGAAGGUUAAUUGAUGGGGUUAGCGGUAACGCGAAGCUCUUGAUCGAAGCCCCGGUAAACGGCGGCCGUAACUAUAACGGUCCUAAGGUAGCGAAAUUCCUUGUCGGGUAAGUUCCGACCUGCACGAAUGGCGUAAUGAUGGCCAGGCUGUCUCCACCCGAGACUCAGUGAAAUUGAACUCGCUGUGAAGAUGCAGUGUACCCGCGGCAAGACGGAAAGACCCCGUGAACCUUUACUAUAGCUUGACACUGAACAUUGAGCCUUGAUGUGUAGGAUAGGUGGGAGGCUUUGAAGUGUGGACGCCAGUCUGCAUGGAGCCGACCUUGAAAUACCACCCUUUAAUGUUUGAUGUUCUAACGUUGGCCCCUAAUCGGGGUUGCGGACAGUGUCUGGUGGGUAGUUUGACUGGGGCGGUCUCCUCCUAAAGAGUAACGGAGGAGCACGAAGGUUGGCUAAUCCUGGUCGGACAUCAGGAGGUUAGUGCAAUGGCAUAAGCCAGCUUGACUGCGAGCGUGACGGCGCGAGCAGGUGCGAAAGCAGGUCAUAGUGAUCCGGUGGUUCUGAAUGGAAGGGCCAUCGCUCAACGGAUAAAAGGUACUCCGGGGAUAACAGGCUGAUACCGCCCAAGAGUUCAUAUCGACGGCGGUGUUUGGCACCUCGAUGUCGGCUCAUCACAUCCUGGGGCUGAAGUAGGUCCCAAGGGUAUGGCUGUUCGCCAUUUAAAGUGGUACGCGAGCUGGGUUUAGAACGUCGUGAGACAGUUCGGUCCCUAUCUGCCGUGGGCGCUGGAGAACUGAGGGGGGCUGCUCCUAGUACGAGAGGACCGGAGUGGACGCAUCACUGGUGUUCGGGUUGUCAUGCCAAUGGCACUGCCCGGUAGCUAAAUGCGGAAGAGAUAAGUGCUGAAAGCAUCUAAGCACGAAACUUGCCCCGAGAUGAGUUCUCCCUGACUCCUUGAGAGUCCUGAAGGAACGUUGAAGACGACGACGUUGAUAGGCCGGGUGUGUAAGCGCAGCGAUGCGUUGAGCUAACCGGUACUAAUGAACCGUGAGGCUUAACCU